rnacentral:tRNA from 2 species
GGCAGAUUUCCCGAGUGGCCAAAGGGGGCUGACUGUAAAUCAGCUAGCAUCGCUUUCACUGGUUCGAAUCCAGUAUCUGCCA